rnacentral:snRNA from 1 species
GUGCUACCUGGCAGGGGAGACACCAUGAUCAGGCAGGUGUUUUUCCCAGGGCGAGGCUCAUCCCCUGCACUCCGGGUGUGCUGACCCCUUCAAUUUCCCCAAAUGCAGGAAACUCGACUGCAUAAUUUGUGUUAGUGGGGGACUGCAUUCGCGUUCUCCUCUG